UACCUAUCGACUGGUAUACCUUGGGAAACCGGAGCUAAUACCGGAUAAUAUUUCGAACCGCAUGGAUCGCUAGUGAAAGAUGGCUUUGCUAUCCCUUAUAGAUGGACCUGCACCGCAUUAGCUAGUUGGUAAGGUAACGCCUUACCAAGGCAACCAUACGUAGCCGACCUGAGAGGGUGAUCGGACACGCUGGAACUGACACACGGUCCACACUCCUACGGGAGGCAGCAGUAGGGAAUCUUCCGCAAUGGGCGAAAGCCUGACGGAGCAACGCCGCGUGAGUGAUGAAGGUCUUCCGAUCUUAAAACUCUGUUAUUAGGGAAGAACAAACGUGUAAGUAACUGUGCACGUCUUGACGGUACCUAAUCACAAAGCCACGGCUAACUACGUGCCAGCAGCCGCGGUAAUACGUAGGUGGCAAGCGUUAUCCGGAAUUAUUCGGCGUAAAGCGCGCGUAACGCCCUUUUUAAAGUCUGAUGUGAUAAGCCCACGGCUCAACCGUGGAGGGUCAUUGGAAACUGGAAAACUUGAGUGGAGAAGAGGAAAGUGCAAUUCCAUGUGUACGCGUGAAAUGCG
rnacentral:rRNA from 1 species